GCAGCCGUCAUUCCUUUUCACAUUUUGGCACAUGCCGAUCCAGUUCUCGAACCGUGUGUGUCCGCGCCCGUGAAGCCUGAUGUAUUGGCUAAAAUCGUUCAAAAAUCGCAGAAAAGUGUGCUAAAGUGUUCGCCGUUUACGCCAGGUCGUGCGCCGAGUGUCGGUGCGUGCAAAAAAAGAGGUCAGCAGUCGUGCGAAAAAAGGGAUUCAAUCCGUGAAAAGCCCGUAACCAGUAGGUUCAUAGGGGAGGAAGUAGUGAGCGUUUUGCCAACAGCACAGGAGCCAACCGAAGCAGCAAGAUGUCGUUCGAGGAAACAUCCGCCGAUCGAAAUGUCGAGAUCUGGAAGAUCAAGAAACUCAUCAAGAGUUUAGAAAUGGCUCGAGGCAAUGGCACGAGCAUGAUCUCGCUGAUCAUCCCCCCGAAGGAUCAGAUCAGCCGGGUGAGCAAGAUGUUGGCGGACGAGUUCGGUACCGCUUCCAACAUCAAGUCCCGCGUCAACCGACUCUCCGUACUGGGCGCCAUUACCUCGGUCCAGCACCGGCUCAAACUAUACACCAAAGUGCCUCCGAAUGGACUCGUGAUCUACUGCGGUACGAUCGUCACCGAAGAGGGCAAGGAAAAGAAGGUCAACAUUGACUUUGAACCGUUCAAACCGAUCAAUACCUCUCUAUACUUAUGCGAUAAUAAGUUUCACACCGAAGCACUGACGGCGCUGCUGGCGGACGACAAUAAGUUUGGUUUCAUUGUGAUGGACGGUAACGGUGCACUGUUCGGUACGCUUCAGGGUAACACACGGGAAGUGCUGCACAAAUUCACCGUCGAUCUGCCGAAGAAGCACGGCCGUGGUGGUCAGUCCGCGUUGCGUUUUGCCCGUCUUCGUAUGGAAAAGCGUCACAAUUACGUGCGGAAAGUAGCAGAGGUGGCCACCCAGCUGUUCAUCACCAACGAUAAGCCAAACAUUGCCGGGCUGAUCCUGGCCGGUAGUGCCGACUUCAAAACGGAACUCAGCCAGUCAGAUAUGUUCGAUCCGCGAUUGCAAUCGAAAAUCAUCAAAUUGGUGGAUGUUUCGUACGGCGGCGAGAACGGUUUUAAUCAAGCUAUCGAACUGGCAGCCGAGUCGCUACAGAACGUCAAAUUUAUCCAGGAGAAGAAAUUGAUUGGUCGAUACUUUGAUGAAAUUUCACAGGAUACCGGCAAAUACUGCUUCGGUGUUGAGGACACCCUGAAGGCGCUGGAGCUGGGCUCAGUGGAAACACUGAUCUGCUGGGAGAACUUGGACAUUCAACGUUACGUGCUGAAGAAUCACAUCACGGCGACGUCCACCACAGUAUUGCAUCUGACUCCGGAGCAGGAGAAGGACAAGUCUCACUUCACCGAUAAGGAGAGUGGCGUGGAGAUGGAAUUAGUAGAAUCUCAGCCACUGUUGGAAUGGCUUGCAAACAAUUACAAGAGUUUCGGUGCUACUUUGGAAAUUAUUACUGACAAGUCCCAGGAAGGAAGUCAGUUUGUGCGAGGUUUUGGUGGAAUAGGAGGAAUCUUACGCUACAAGGUGGACUUCCAGUCAUUGCAAGCCGAUGAGCCACUGGACGACGUUGACCUUGACGAUUACUAAAUCAAUUACUUCUAAAAGAAAAACAACCAGUAUCCAUUGGACUGCGCGUACUCUGUGACGAAACUGUAGCGGAACAGCCACGGACACACAGACACGUAUUAGAAAUUACAAACAAACACACACACACAGUACAGACAUUUCUCGACUCUCUUUGAAAUUCAUAAAAAUCAAAGAAACGCGUUCAAGCCGAGUUUUUUUUUCGCGUAUAAAGGAUUAGAUUGUGAAACAAAAGAUUAACAAAUUGUAAACAGCGAAAUAGAAAUCCAAAAAUUUGAACCGAAUCUCAACUCCGGAGAUAAAAUACGAAAUUUAAACAAAAUACACUGACAAACAUAUAAACAGUAAAAUAGUUAAUAUAAUCUGAAGAAAAAAACAAACAAACAAAAACCAAAAAAAUAUAUAAUCGGUGAACUGGUAAACGGAAGUGUGAAAUUGAUGUCGUCGGUCACACACACCGAAAUACAGUUCCGAGCCCGAGCGUGAGCGUGUAAUUUAGUAGAUUAAAACAGAAACGAAAUUAGAAACCAUAUUUAUAUAAAUAUUGAUGAGCAUCCUUUGAAGAAGGGAUAACGAUGGAACUUUGGAACAUCCAAACUAUCGCGGAUGGACACAUUUGAACAGAAUUUGGUUAAAGUCGGAAAAACUAAAUUGAAUCUGUAUAUGUAGUUCAACCUUUGUAAAGAUCUGAUUUGGCCUGCUUACUUGCAUAUUUCAUUGCAUUCUAAUUCAAUAAUUUUUAGUAGCUCUCUCAAUGUCCUCAUUUCGGUUCAUAACAUUCUCUUGUGUACAAAAAUUUAAGAGAUGUUAUCAGUACUUAAUGAUGUCUACAAGAAAUGAUCAACGUUGGAGUCAAUGUAAUUUAUACUAACAUAUACGAAAGCACUUCUCGCUUUAUGACCUUUAACAUUGACUGUCCAUAUAAUAUACAAUUCAAUUUAGAUCAAGAAAUGAUAUUCGUACCGACGUCAAAAAAUAUGAGAACCUCUGGUUUUGUUCUACCUCAUCUCAUGCGCUUGAAUUUAUUCUGAGAUAGACCAAAAUACGAUAGGUCUCAUACGAUAAUCCCAAUCCCUUUAUUUUCGAAGGAUGCUCAAUUUUUAUGAUGAUAUAUCAUUGAGUGAAACACAUAAAUCACUUAAAGAAAAAACUUGUAUAAUAACAAUUAAUUCCCUUAUAAACAUAGAAGAAAUCGAAUAAACCACGAUACCGAACUCGAAUGCAGGAUUGAUUGAAAUUAUCGCGACUUACGCCUAGGAACAUUAGUGAAGUGAAAAGAAGAAUCACUGAACAAUAAAACAGAAAGCUGAAUGCUGCUCUAGAAUUUGUUUCGGUAUAAUUUACUUUACCGCUGAAAAUUUCGGUUUCAUCUUCUGGAAUAUAAAAAGCAACCCGCGGAUUGUUCAGAUUUCCAAUUAAAGCCCAACAAUUUGGAUGUGUUCCUCGUUACAAUCAAUAUAAUAUUUAGAAACAGCUCGACGACAAGAACAAGAAAGUUCUUAUAGUGCUGCACUGCUCCAUAGCCGGAAAAUAGCAUCACCUACUAAAGAAAAACAAAACGGAGUAGUAAACAACACAUGCUUAACUUAAGUUUCGUAGAAAGUUUUAUUUAGUAGAUCUAUGUUUCAUAUGGAGUGAAAAACAUGUCAACGGACAAAUACACACAGGUCGACAAUGUAGCAAACAACAACAACACCAACACACGAGGAUAACAGGACACUCUUCAACUGAAGCUCACACCGUUAUGCGUACUUAUUGAUCAUUUGGGCACAUUUGCACGCACAUAGUCGCCGAUGGGUUGAUUAAGUAAAGGUAUUUUGCGCUACAAGGUAGAUUUCCAAAGCAUGCAACUAGAUGAAUUGGACAACGAUGGUUUCGAUAUAGAUGAUUAUUAAAUUUUUUAUGUUAAUGAAGAUAUCAGUUAUACACAAACAGGUUAGAAAAUAUACAAAGGAUAAUACGAGACACUACAGUGGAAACACAAAAAAAAACCAUUCGCCUGUUUUUCAUUUGUUUGCAUGGCAGGAGGAAAAUCACUUGCGAGACCCAGGCAAAAAAAAGAAACUAACAAUAAGGGUAGUCCUAGUAAUUUUCCUCAUCCGUUUACUGUAUUGAAAGGUUUCUAGCAAUUCGUUUAUACCCGCUACGCGGGAUUCUGCUCAAAUAAUCCUAUUAAAUCGACUUCCGCCACGUCCAAUAACACUAAUCGGUCCUGAGUGCGUCCGCAAAUUACUUAUAACUUCCGGCGGGCAAUAGAGACUAAAAUCAAUCGUGCAGCAACGUCUUUUGUUUUUGUUUCGAGCAUUUAAGAGACAACGAGGGAAGCUUAGUCCAUUCUGAGAAUUCUACAUUCGUCAGAGAAAAGUACUGUGAAUCAGUGUGAUCGUCGUUCGUAUUACGUGUAGGCGCCGCUGGUGAAUGGUGCAACUAGGAAGAUCCGCAUGUUUUGAAAACAAUAGAUUGUUUUGUUCUCUGCCACUCACUCGUGUAAUCCUACACGUAUAAUUUAUAGCUCCGUUUUUUUAAAUUGAAAAUCCUUGGGAGGUAGUUUUGUAGAAUGCAACAAACUAGAUUUUGCCACAGAAUUCGCGUGGAACGCCACACGUGCACUGAAACAACCGAGAUUGUUCAAGUUUAACACUCCUAGUAUACAAUAGACUUUCGUUUGGCGGUCUAACGUCGUUCUGAUUGUUCUUAUUCCUAUUUACUACUUUACUACACCACUAAUUCGGAUAAAGAAACAUACGAGUAACAAAGCCACACACUUUACCAGAGUGCAAGUGAACGCAAAGCUCUUAGAAACAACAGAGAAAGGAGAAAAGCAAGCAAGUAAACUUAAACUCGAAAAAAUCAACAGAAACACACGUACACUUUGCAUUAGUUAAAGAAGGAAGAAGACAAACCCUAUUUCGACUACAGCUACAAAAGUUUUAAAUCCAUCUGAUUAAAAUCCAGAGAAAACCAGAAAAUUGUUAUUAUAUUAUAAAACAAAUAUUAUAAAAUGAUAUAUUACAUAAAAAGAAGAUAUUUAUAUAAAAAGGAAAUGAAAAAAAAACGGAAGCAAACUACUUGGA